rnacentral:rRNA from 1 species
GGACGAACGCUGGCGGCGUGCCUAAUACAUGCAAGUCGAGCGGACCGACGGGAGCUUGCUCCCUUAGGUCAGCGGCGGACGGGUGAGUAACACGUGGGUAACCUGCCUGUAAGACUGGGAUAACUCCGGGAAACCGGGGCUAAUACCGGAUGCUUGAUUGAACCGCAUGGUUCAAUYAUAAAAGGUGGCUUUUAGCUACCACUUACAGAUGGACCCGCGGCGCAUUAGCUAGUUGGUGAGGUAACGGCUCACCAAGGCGACGAUGCGUAGCCGACCUGAGAGGGUGAUCGGCCACACUGGGACUGAGACACGGCCCAGACUCCUACGGGAGGCAGCAGUAGGGAAUCUUCCGCAAUGGACGAAAGUCUGACGGAGCAACGCCGCGUGAGUGAUGAAGGUUUUCGGAUCGUAAAACUCUGUUGUUAGGGAAGAACAAGUACCGUUCGAAUAGGGCGGYACCUUGACGGUACCUAACCAGAAAGCCACGGCUAAC